rnacentral:rRNA from 1 species
CCUACGGGAGGCAGCAGUGAGGAAUAUUGGUCAAUGGACGAGAGUCUGAACCAGCCAAGUAGCGUGAAGGAUGACUGCCCUAUGGGUUGUAAACUUCUUUUAUAUGGGAAUAAAAUGUUCCACGUGUGGGAUUUUGUAUGUACCAUAUGAAUAAGGAUCGGCUAACUCCGUGCCAGCAGCCGCGGUAAUACGGAGGAUCCGAGCGUUAUCCGGAUUUAUUGGGUUUAAAGGGAGCGUAGGCGGAUUGUUAAGUCAGUUGUGAAAGGUUGCGGCUCAACCGUAAAAUUGCAGUUGAAACUGGCAGUCUUGAGUACAGUAGAGGUGGGCGGAAUUCGUGGUGUAGCGGUGAAAUGCUUAGAUAUCACGAAGAACUCCGAUUGCGAAGGCAGCUCACUGGACUACAACUGACACUGAGGCUCGAAAGUGUGGGUAUCAAACAGGAUUAGAGACCCCUGUAGUC